rnacentral:tRNA from 1 species
GUCUCUAUAGUUUAUAAAAAACAUUAGUUUUGUAAACUAAAAUAGGCCCGCCUAGAGACUC